GACAGAGGUGCCAAGCGUUAGGCGGAAUCACUGGGCUUAAAGCGUGUGUAGGCGGAUGUCUAAGUACCUUGUGAAAUCCCACGGCUCAACCGUGGAACUGCUUGGUAUACUGGAUGUCUUGAGCCAUCUAGGGGCUACCGGAACAAAUGGUGGAGCGGUGAAAUUCGUAGAUAUCGGGAGGAACACCAGUGGCGAAGGCGGCGAUCUGGGAAGAUACUGACGCUGAGGUGCGAAAGCGUGGGGAGCAAACAGG
rnacentral:rRNA from 1 species